AGAGUUUGAUCCUGGCUCAGAUUGAACGCUGGCGGCAUGCCUAACACAUGCAAGUCGAACGGAAACGAUGGGAGCUUGCUCCCAGGCGUCGAGUGGCGGACGGGUGAGUAAUACUUAGGAAUCUACCCAGUAGCGGGGGACAACUCGGGGAAACUCGAGCUAAUACCGCAUACGCUCUACGGAGGAAAGCAGGGGAUCUUCGGACCUUGCACUAUUGGAUGAGCCUAAGUCGGAUUAGCUUGUUGGUGAGGUAAAGGCUCACCAAGGCGACGAUCCGUAGCUGGUCUGAGAGGACGAUCAGCCACACUGGGACUGAGACACGGCCCAGACUCCUACGGGAGGCAGCAGUGGGGAAUAUUGGACAAUGGGGGCAACCCUGAUCCAGCAAUGCCGCGUGUGUGAAGAAGGCCUGCGGGUUGUAAAGCACUUUCAGUAGAGAAGAAAAGCCUAGGGUUAAUACCCCUGAGUCUUGACGUUACCUACAGAAGAAGCUCCGGCUAACUCCGUGCCAGCAGCCGCGGUAAUACGGAGGGAGCGAGCGUUAAUCGGAAUUACUGGGCGUAAAAGCGCGCGUAGGCGGCUUUGUAAGUCGGAUGUGAAAGCCCUGGGCUUAACCUGGGAAUGGCAUUCGAUACUGCAGAGCUAGAGUAUGGUAGAGGGAAGUGGAAUUUCCGGUGUAGCGGUGAAAUGCGUAGAUAUCGGAAGGAACACCGGUGGCGAAGGCGACUUCCUGGGCCAAUACUGACGCUGAGGCGCGAAAGCGUGGUAGCAAACAGGAUUAGAUACCCUGGUAGUCCACGCCGUAAACGAUGAGAACUAGAUGUCGGAGGAUCUGCCUUUCGGUGUCGCAGCUAACGCGUAAGUCCUCCGCCUGGGGAGUACGCCGGCAACGNAAAACCUCAAAGGAAUUGACGGGGACCCGCACAAGCGGUGGAGCAUG
rnacentral:rRNA from 1 species